ACUUGAUGGUGUUUAUGACGUCGAUAUUCGACGUCAUAAACACCAAACUUGAUGGUGUUUAUGACGUCGAAUAUCGACGUCAUAAACAGCA
rnacentral:miRNA from 1 species